UACGGGGGGGGCAAGCGUUGUUCGGAAUUACUGGGCGUAAAGGGCUCGUAGGUGGCCAACUAAGUCAGACGUGAAAUCCCCAGGCUUAACCUGGGAACUGCGUCUGAUACUGGAUGGCUUGAAUUCGGGAGAGGGAUGCAGAAUUCCAGGUGUAGCGGUGAAAUGCGUAGAUAUGUGGAGGAAUACCGAUGGCGAAGGCAGCCCCCUGGGAUAACACUGACGCUCAUGCACGAAAGCGUGGGGAGCAAACAGG
rnacentral:rRNA from 1 species